AGAGUUUGAUCCUGGCUCAGAAUGAACGUUGGCGGCGUGGAUUAGGCAUGCAAGUCGAGCGCUCAUCAGCAAUGGUGGGAGCGGCGAACGGCGUAGUAAGACGUAGGAACGUACCCUCGGGACGGGGAUAGCUACGGGAAACUGUAGGUAAUACCCGAUAAUCUCUGCGGAGCAAAGGUGUGAUUCCGCCUGGGGAGCGGCUUACGCGAUAUUAGCUAGUUGGCGGGGUAAUGGCCUACCAAGGCGAUGAUGUCUAGGGGGUGUGAGAGCAUGGCCCCCACGACCGGAACUGAGAUACUGUCCGGACACCUACGGGUGGCUGCAGUCGAGAAUCUUCCGCAAUGGACGAAAGUCUGACGGAGCGACGCCGCGUGCGGGAUGAAGGCCCUUGGGUUGUAAACCGCUGUCAGAGGGGAUGAAAUCUUCGGAGGUACUCCUCCGAAGUUGACAGAGCCUCAAAGGAAGCACGGGCUAAGUACGUGCCAGCAGCCGCGGUAACACGUACUGUGCGAACGUUAUUCGGAAUCACUGGGCUUAAAGGGUGCGUAGGCGGCGAUUCAAGUCAGAUGUGAAAUGCCUGAGCUCAACUGAGGCAUUGCGUUUGAAACUGAAUUGCUAGAGUAUCCUAGGGGUGUGCGGAAC
rnacentral:rRNA from 1 species